rnacentral:rRNA from 1 species
CCGCACGCGCGCUACACUGAUACGUGUCAUCGAGCAUACAACCUUGGUUGAAAGGCCUGGGUAAUCUUGUUAAACCGUAUCGUGCUGGGGAUAGAUUAUUGUAAUUUUUAAUCUUCAACGAGGAAUUCCUAGUAAACGCUGGUCAUCAACCAGCAUUGAUUACGU